rnacentral:rRNA from 1 species
CCCUUAGAUGUUCUGGGCCGCACGCGUGCUACACUGACCGGCGCAACAAGCUUUUUUCCUUGGCUCGACAGGCCUGGGUAAUCUUCGAACGCCGGUCGUGAUGGGGAUAGAUCCUUGCAAUUUUUGAUCUUCAACGAGGAAUUCCUAGUAAAUGCGAGUCAUCAUCUCGCGUUGAUUACGUCCCUGCCCUUUGUACACACCGCCCGUCGCACCUACCGAUUGAAUGGUCCGGUGAAGCCUCCGGAUUGGCGCGCACCUCGGUGCCGCCGAGAAGUUGGCUAAACCUUACCAUUUAGAGGAAGGUGAAGUCGUANCA